AGAGUUUGAUCAUGGCUCAGGAUGAACGCUAGCGGCAGGCUUAAUACAUGCAAGUCGAGGGGCAGCAUGACUGUAGCAAUACAGUUGAUGGCGACCGGCAAACGGGUGCGGAACACGUACAGAACCUUCCUUCGAGCGGGGAAUAGCCCGGAGAAAUCCGGAUUAAUACCCCAUAGUAUGGUGAAGAGGCAUCUCUUUACUAUUAAAGAUUUAUCACUUGAAGAUGGCUGUGCGGCUGAUUAGGUAGUUGGCGGGGUAACGGCCCACCAAGCCUGCGAUCAGUAACUGGUGUGAGAGCACGACCAGUCACACGGGCACUGAGACACGGGCCCGACUCCUACGGGAGGCAGCAGUAAGGAAUAUUGGUCAAUGGACGAAAGUCUGAACCAGCCAUGCCGCGUGGAGGAUGAAGGUCCUCUGGAUUGUAAACUUCUUUUAUAUGGGACGAAAAAAGGCCUUUCCAGGUCGUCUGACGGUACCAUAUGAAUAAGCACCGGCUAACUCCGUGCCAGCAGCCGCGGUAAUACGGAGGGUGCAAGCGUUAUCCGGAUUCACUGGGUUUAAAGGGUGCGUAGGUGGGUUGAUAAGUCAGUGGUGAAAUCCCCGAGCUUAACUUGGGAACUGCCAUUGAUACUAUUGAUCUUGAAUACCGUGGAGGUCAGCGGAAUAUGUCAUGUAGCGGUGAAAUGCUUAGAUAUGACAUAGAACACCAAUUGCGAAGGCAGCUGGCUACGCGAAUAUUGACACUGAUGCACGAAAGCGUGGGGAUCAAACAGGAUUAGAUACCCUUGUAGUCC
rnacentral:rRNA from 1 species